rnacentral:rRNA from 1 species
GACGAACGCUGGCGGCGUGCUUAACACAUGCAAGUCGAACGAAGUGGCGAACGGGUGAGUAACGCGUAAUCAACCUGCCCUUCAGAGGGGGACAACAGUUGGAAACGACUGCUAAUACCGCAUACUGAAGGAGGGGAUUGCGUCUGAUUGGCUAGUUGGAGGGGGAACGGCCUACCAAGGCGAUGCUAAUUAGCCGUUCUGAGAGGAUGAACGGCCACAUUGGGACUGGGACACGGCCCAGACGCCGUCGGGAGGCAGCAGUGGGGAAUCUUCCGCAAGGGACGAAAGUCUGACGGGGCAACGCGGGGUGAGUGAUGACGGCCUUCGGGUUGUAAAGCUCUGUUUGUCGGGACGCGGUACCGGAAUAGAAAGCCACGGCUAACUACGUGCCAGCAGCCGCGGUAAUUC